rnacentral:rRNA from 1 species
GGGCCCGCACAAGCGGUGGAGCAUGUGGUUUAAUUCGAUGCAACGCGAAGAACCUUACCUGGUCUUGACAUCCACAGAACUUUCCAGAGAUGGAUUGGUGCCUUCGGGAACUGUGAGACAGGUGCUGCAUGGCUGUCGUCAGCUCGUGUUGUGAAAUGUUGGGUUAAGUCCCGCAACGAGCGCAACCCUUAUCCUUUGUUGCCAGCGGUCCGGCCGGGAACUCAAAGGAGACUGCCAGUGAUAAACUGGAGGAAGGUGGGGAUGACGUCAAGUCAUCAUGGCCCUUACGACCAGGGCUACACACGUGCUACAAUGGCAUAUACAAAGAGAAGCGACCUCGCGAGAGCAAGCGGACCUCAUAAAGUAUGUCGUAGUCCGGAUUGGAGUCUGCAACUCGACUCCAUGAAGUCGGAAUCGCUAGUAAUCGUAGAUCAGAAUGCUACGGUGAAUACGUUCCCGGGCCUU